rnacentral:rRNA from 1 species
GAUGAACGCUAGCGGCAGGCUUAACACAUGCAAGUCGAGGGGCAGCAUGAGACGGAGAUUCGUCAAAGUCUUGAUGGCGACCGGCGCAAGGGUGCGUAACGCGUGAGCAACUUGCCCGUUUCUGGGGAAUAACCGGUGGAAACGCCGACUAAUACCCCAUAGUAUGUCCGAGAGGCAUCUUUUGGACAUUAAAGAACUUCGGAAACGGAUAGGCUCGCGUGACAUUAGCUAGAUGGCGGGGUAACGGCCCACCAUGGCGACGAUGUCUAGGGGUUCUGAGAGGAAGGUCCCCCACACUGGAACUGAGACACGGUCCAG